rnacentral:rRNA from 1 species
UGGGGAAUUUUGGACAAUGGGCGAAAGCCUGAUCCAGCCAUGCCGCGUGAGUGAAGAAGGCCUUCGGGUUGUAAAGCUCUUUUAGUCGGAAAGAAAGAGUCGCAAUGAAUAAUUGUGAUUUAUGACGGUACCGACAGAAAAAGCACCGGCUAACUACGUGCCAGCAGCCGCGGUAAUACGUAGGGUGCGAGCGUUAAUCGGAAUUACUGGGCGUAAAGGGUGCGCAGGCGGUUUUGCAAGUCAGAUGUGAAAGCCCCGGGCUUAACCUGGGAAUUGCGUUUGAAACUACAAGGCUAGAGUGCAGCAGAGGGGAGUGGAAUUCCAUGUGUAGCAGUGAAAUGCGUAGAGAUGUGGAAGACACCGAUGGCGAAGGCAGCUCCCGUGGUUGACACUGACGCGUCA